CCAAAUUAUCCCAACCAAGCGAACAAAGAAAGCUGUCUCCUAAUUGGGAAGACCCCUAUUGAGUAGACAAGGUCAUCAGAUUCGGAACCUAUAGCCUAAAGUAGUCGGAUGAAACUCCAUUAUAAUGAUCCUAGAACUUCAAAAAUUUAUGAAUGUGCUAUCAAUAAAUAUUCUUGAUAAAGUUUCUUUUUUGUCUACAAAUUUUACAGAGAAUCAAAGGCCCUUGCCAAAUCAUCUGAAUGAUUAAGGCUACAAAUGGAUUGAGUUGACCCAUGACUCGACCCAACCCGAACCAUUUAAAAGGAUCCAUGGAUAUGGGUCGGGUUCUAAAACUGGAUCCAUUCUAUUUGCCAAGUUGGAUCUGGAUUUAUUGAAUUUUGAUCCGACCCGAUCCAACUCGAUCCACCUGAAUUUUUGGGUUUAUAUAAAUCUUAUGCUCAAUGAUCCGAUUUGAUCCGAACUCAUUAUAUAACCCAAACCUAUUAUAUGCUAGUAUGGACUGGGCACAAAUUACAGUGGGCUGCCCACCCGCAUAAUAUUAUCUUCUUUCCUUUCCACUCCGCAAUUGAGUAGCACCCAUUGGUUGAAGCUAAUGAAGUUUCUAACAAACAUUAUCUUUUUUUCUUUCUACCUCUAUAAGAAAUCCUUCACAUCAAACCUACACAAUCUUUUCAAUUUAAAAAAUUUAGAGGAUUAGUAGAAAAUGGAUAUUU
rnacentral:lncRNA from 1 species